rnacentral:rRNA from 1 species
AAUUCCUUGAAAGAGGGAAGUGCCUCGCAAGAGGAGCCUGGAGACAGGUGCUGCAUGGCUGUCGUCAGCUCGUGUCGUGAGAUGUUGGGUUAAGUCCCGCAACGAGCGCAACCCUUGUCUUUAGUUGCCAUCAUUCAGUUGGGCACUCUAAAGAGACUGCCGGUGUCAAACCGGAGGAAGGUGGGGAUGACGUCAAGUCCUCAUGGCCUUUAUGACCAGGGCUACACACGUACUACAAUGGCCGGUACAAAGGGCAGCCACUUAGCGAUAAGGAGCCAAUCCCGUAAAGCCGGUCUCAGUCCGGAUUGGAGUCUGCAACUCGACUCCAUGAAGUUGGAAUCGCUAGUAAUCGCAGAUCAGCACGCUGCGGUGAAUACGUUCCCGGGCCUU